rnacentral:rRNA from 1 species
AUUGAACGCUGGCGGCAUGCUUUACACAUGCAAGUCGAACGGUAACAGGCCUUCGGUUGCUGUCGAGUGGCGGACGGGUGCGUAAUGCAUCGGAACGUACCCAGAGGUGGGGGAUCACGCAGCGAAUGCUGUGCUAAUACCGCAUGUGAUCUGAGGAUGAAAGCGGGGGACCGCGCAGCAAUGUUUGGCUUCGCGCCUUUCGUGUGGCUGAUGUCGGAUUAGCUAGUUGGUGGGGUAAGGGCCUACCAAGGCGACGAUGCGUAGCUGAUCUGAGAGGACGACCAGCCACACUGGAACUGAGACACGGCCCAGACUCCUACGGGAGGCAGCAGUAGGGAAUCUUGCACAAUGGGCGCAAGCCUGAUGCAGCAACGCCGCGUGAGGGAUGAAGGCCUUCGGAUCGUAAACCGCUGUUGGCAGGAACGAAACGGUGUCCGCUAAUCCCUGGCGCUCAUGACGGUACCUGCAGAAAAAGCACCGGCUAACUACGUG